CAUAUUCAUUUGCAUGUUAUUUCAGUCUGGGCAUGACGAUCUUCUUCAUCUUAAAGAGGUAUCGACUUGAUUUUUGCAAAAAAUUUCUUUAGCAUCGACGCGAUCUUUUCUCUCUCUUCGUUCUCGGGAGUUUACGAUUGUCAAAUUGGGUUUAUCAUCAACAAGGAGAACGAAGGCGAUUUUUGGAAUUGCGUUGAGGAAAGUAGGAGAGCUGUAGGUGUAUGUGAUUAGUGGGACUGUUGCUCAGUUGUACUUCACCAAGGAAUAUUCGACUCCAAAGCGGGUUAUCAGAUGUUCUUUAUGGCAAUCUGUUGAUUUGAUGACUGACUACUGGAUGUCCCCGAGUGAUCAUUGAUUAAUUGGUAGCACUUUCAUCUGUAUGUACCUAUACAUUCAUUAAUUUUUUGUGUCUGGAAGAAGGGACAGAGAGCCAAGACAUCAGAGGAUCACGGGACGGGGAAGUUUUCAGGGAAACCAUCAGUCUGGGCAGCCUAUUAAUAAGGGGAGGCUUAAAAGGGUCAAAGAUCGGUUCAGAGAGAUGACACAGUGGUUUGAACAAGUAAUCAGAUAUGCAGUUGACAUGCCACAGGAUAUUCAUGGAAAUGAUGUAAAGCUAAGUGAGUACAGUGGCAAGGUUCUCCUGAUUGUGAAUGUUGCUUCAAAAAGGUAAGGACACAUAAUUGGAGAUGGGUGUUUUCAGACUUGGCUGUAAUACAUGAAUCAUCUUCAAUGGAUGUCAAGAGUGAGUACAUACCAUCAUGGAGGCUGAUAUGCACACUGCUGGAUUUUACUACUCUUCAAACUGAAGUUAACCUACAUAAAGAAGCUCGACAACUUUUGCUUAUUUGUGAUAAAGACCUUUUGCUAAUUCAGUUUGUUAUAACAAAGUAUAUAAUGUUUUUACUUUUCUCCUUCUAACUACUGUGUGUUUCUCUGUUAUGUAAAGUUGUAAAUAUAAAUGUAUUUGCAAACUAUAUUCUGAAUGUUGCUUUAUGGAUGGCAUGUCUAAAGACCUAAAUAUCUCUGGCAUUUAUUGAUCAAAUAUAGGCAAAUAAUAAACCGCAGCAACGCGCGGGGAUGCUAACUAGUGCAAU